CAAUUGUUGAGUAAGCAAUUCUUUGGCCCGGUUCGUCUCGUCGUUGGCGACACUACCAUAACAUUUGGGUAAACUGUUGUACGAAGAAGAAACGUAAUUCGGCAAAGAAUAAUCUUUAUCGGAAAACGGUGGCGACGUCAGGAGACUGAAGUCGGAGGCGAGUAGGUGCAACGGACGAAAGGUUUUGCCGUUAAAUUCAACGAUUUGUGAAUCAACGGCUGGAAGGAGGAAAAAAAACAAACAAACGAGACACGACGUUCAUAAAAAAACCCAUGCAACAACGCCAUCUGCUAGUCGGUGUGAGAAAAGAGACGGUCGGGGGAGGUAAGAAGUGCUGGACGGCGGGCUUCUUCCCUACAACGAACAGGGCAACAAUAAACCCAGAAAUAGAUUUCCCAGCAGUUCCUCGGCUCGCGGGACAAAUCCUAAAAGGAGGUAGGGGACGGCGUGAAAACCCGAGACACUUGAGCUGGGCCGUCUGCUCAGACUCCAGAAUUAGCACACACACCUCCCAAAGAUAUUUGUCCAAAUUGAAUUUGUUUUUUUGUUUGAAAUAAAUCGUUUUUUCAUUGAAAA